UAUGGGAUCAGUAGCAGCCAUUGUUCGUGAUGAACAAGGUCAAGUGACUGGAUGGCGUUGCAAAUUGUUUCCAAAUAUAGAGGAUCCCCUAGUUCUUGAAAGUUUGGCUUGUCGAGAGGCUAUUCAACUAGCCAUAGCUAAGGGUUUGGCAAAUGCUAUCAUUGAAGGUGACUCCCAGGUGGUCAUCAACAGUUGCAAAGGAUAUGUGAGCUCAGUAGAA
rnacentral:misc_RNA from 1 species